rnacentral:snRNA from 1 species
GUGCUCGCUUCAGCAGCACAUAUACUAAAUUGGAAUGAUACACAGAAGAUUAGCAUGGCUCCUGCACAAGGAUGACAUGCAAAUUCAUGAAGCGUUCCAUAUUUUU